rnacentral:rRNA from 1 species
GACGAACGCUGGCGGCGUGCUUAACACAUGCAAGUCGAACGGUGAAGCUCCAGCUUGCUGGAGUGGACCAGUGGCGAACGGGUGAGUAACACGUGAGCAACCUGCCCCUGACUCUGGAAUAAGCGCUGGAAACGGCGUCUAAUACUGGAUACGAGAAGGGUCCGCAUGGGCACUUUCUGGAAAGUUUUUCGGUUGGGGAUGGGCUCGCGGCCUAUCAGCUUGUUGGUGAGGUAAUGGCUCACCAAGGCGACGACGGGUAGCCGGCCUGAGAGGGCGACCGGCCACACUGGGACUGAGACACGGCCCAGACUCCUACGGGAGGCAGCAGUGGGGAAUAUUGCACAAUGGGCGAAAGCCUGAUGCAGCGACGCCGCGUGAGGGAUGACGGCCUUCGGGUUGUAAACCUCUUUCAGCAGGGAAGAAGCGAAAGUGACGGUACCUGCAGAAGAAGCACCGGCUAACUACGUG